rnacentral:rRNA from 1 species
UACGGAGGAUCCGAGCGUUAUCCGGAUUUAUUGGGUUUAAAGGGUGCGUAGGCGGAGUGUCAAGUCAGCGGUAAAAUUUCGGGGCUCAACCCCGUCGUGCCGUUGAAACUGACACCCUUGAGUGAGUGAGAAGUAAGCGGAAUGCGUGGUGUAGCGGUGAAAUGCUUAGAUAUCAUGAAGAACUCCGAUCGCGAAGGCAAGUGUCCGGGGUGCAACUGACGCUGAGGCUCGAAAGUGCGGGUAUCAAACAGG